GAAACCGAGUCUUAACCGGGCGUUAAGUUGCAGGGUAUAGACCCGAAACCCGGUGAUCUAGCCAUGGGCAGGUUGAAGGUUGGGUAACACUAACUGGAGGACCGAACCGACUAAUGUUGAAAAAUUAGCGGAUGACCUGUGGCUGGGGGUGAAAGGCCAAUCAAACCGGGAGAUAGCUGGUUCUCCCCGAAAGCUAUUUAGGUAGCGCCUCGUGAAUUCAUCUCCGGGGGUAGAGCACUGUUUCGGCUAGGGGGCCAUCCCGGCUUACCAACCCGAUGCAAACUGCGAAUACCGGAGAAUGUUAUCACGGGAGACACACGGCGGGUGCUAACGUCCGUCGUGAAGAGGGAAACAACCCAGACCGCCAGCUAAGGUCCCAAAGUCAUGGUUAAGUGGGAAACGAUGUGGGAAGGCCCAGACAGCCAGGAUGUUGGCUUAGAAGCAGCCAUCAUUUAAAGAAAGCGUAAUAGCUCACUGGUCGAGUCGGCCUGCGCGGAAGAUGUAACGGGGCUAAACCAUG
rnacentral:rRNA from 1 species